rnacentral:lncRNA from 10 species
GCUGGUUUCUCUGAAAGUCUCGGCCCUGGGCCAGUGUUUUAUUUCUUUCUGGGAUGGGCCCCUAUCUAGGAGUUUUUUUUCCCUUGGAACCUUGGAGAAUGACUCAUGAGGACUUUCAAUGGGCAGCAAGUGCCCUGGUGACAUAGGGUCACAUCCUGUUACUCAAGAAGGCAGGUCCUGGGUAGAUCCCAGGGAGGUGAGUUGGUGGGGGAUAAAGAGCUCCUGUGUGGCCAGCAGCUGGCUGCAGUUCCCCAGGAAACAGCUUCCGGCAGACACUCAAUCUCCAGUUGUAACAGGUGGUGUGGAGUCCGCUGUCCCAGGGAGUGGGCUCAAGGCCUAGUCCUGCCAAUGAACUUGCUGUAGAAACUUUUCUGUCUAUCAAAUGAGCUUCUCCAUUUCCACCUUUGCAAACUCUGGACUCCAAGGACGCAAGAUGGCCGGAAACAAGAUGGUGGAGCAUGAAGGCCCUUGCCAGAUGACAGCACUAUGCCCUUGGACUCCCCAGCCUCCAUAACCAUGGGCCAAAUAAACUUCUAUUGUUUUAAAUUGCCCAGUCUGUGGUAUUCUAUCAUAACAGCACAAAAUAGACUAAAACAAUGCUCUACACUGGCUGCCAGAGUUCCCUGAUGGGAUUGUGCUCCAGUUGUCCACAGUAGUAACUUGCUGGAUAAUACUUCCUGUUUCCGCAGGCUUCUCUUCUCUGUCUCAUUCCCUCAAUCCCCUAAUGGUGCUUUCUGGGAUCAUCUCCCAAAUAAUCCACUUGCACCUCAAAUCCUCAUCUCAGAGUCUGCUUCUGAGGGAGCCCAAACAAAGGCAUGAAACCUUUCCCAUUCCCCAGUCUCAGUCUAUAUGGUUAAAGUGGGCCUGAACCCCAUUCUAGGAUGGGUCAGACUCAGGUCUGACCAAUGACACCACCAUACCUCUUUUAGGUACAGGGAUGGUUCAGGGAUGACCAUUUGAACUCAAAC